AAAGAGCUAGUGUGGGGCCACUGGCACAAACAAGGCAGCUCCUUAGAACCUGAACUUCCUAUUUGUUCCAUUCCUUGGGUAGAUAACGCCUGUUAAUUACUCUGGAGGUAACUAUUAUUUUCCCCC